rnacentral:rRNA from 1 species
AUUGAACGCUGGCGGCAGGCUUAACACAUGCAAGUCGAGCGGGGUGAUGGUGCUUGCACUAUCACUUAGCGGCGGACGGGUGAGUAAUGCUUAGGAAUCUGCCUAUUAGUGGGGGACAACAUCUCGAAAGGGAUGCUAAUACCGCAUACGUCCUACGGGAGAAAGCAGGGGAUCACUUGUGACCUUGCGCUAAUAGAUGAGCCUAAGUCGGAUUAGCUGGUUGGUGGGGUAAAGGCCUACCAAGGCGACGAUCUGUAGCGGGUCUGAGAGGAUGCUCCGACAAACUGGGACUGAGACACGGCCCAGACUCCUACGGGAGGCGGCAGUGGGGAAUAUUGGACAAUGGGGGGAACCCUGAUCCAGCCAUGCCGCGUGUGUGAAGAAGGCCUUAUGGUUGUAAAGCACUUUAAGCGAGGAGGAGGCUCUUUUGGUUAAUACCCAAGAUGAGUGGACGUUACUCGCAGAAUAAGCACCGGCUAACUCUGUGCCAGCCGCCGCGGUAA